rnacentral:lncRNA from 1 species
AUGAGGAAGGAGGUCAGCCCGUAUCCGGCCGUCCAGGCCUGCAUCCUCCUUGAGCGGGAUCAGGUGGACCGCAUGCUAUUUCCAGGUGUUUCCAAGUCCGUUGGGGUGGGGCAUGUAAGACUGCUCCUUGUCAGCUGGCCUCCUGACGCAGCUGUUCAACAGCCUUUCUUCUGGCACGGUGACAAAGCUGACGUGGCUCUUAGCCUAAACGACUCCAUUUUGUGGAGCAGCCAUUUUAAGGGUCCAAAGUUACUUACUUGGAAGAUAAUGAUAUACAGACACUUAAUAACAUAAUGUUUACAAUGCCCAGCAUCCAAAAAAUUCCAAGUUAUGAGAAGCAAGAAAGUAUGACCCAUAAAUAAAAAAAGAACCAGUCAAAAAAAAAAAAAAAAAAAAAAAAAAAAAAGAACCAGUCAAAAGAAACAGACGAGGAAAAAAAAAAAAAGAAGAAACAGACGAGGAUAUUAAAGAAAUAAUGGAAUUUGCGGAAAAGAACUUUAAAAGUUAUUAUAAGUAUGUUCAAGUAUUUAAAGAAUAACAUGAAUAAGAAAGGAGAUGAUAGAUAUAAAUAAAUACUAGAUGGAAAUUCCAGAGCUGGUAAAUAUAAAAUGAAAAGUUUACAGUAUAGGCUUAACAUAUUGGACAUUUUUAAAAAAGAUUUAUUUAUUUAUUUUAGAGAGAGAGAGAGAGUCUUAAGCGGCUCUAUACUGAGCAUGGAGUCUGACACAAGGCUCCAUCUCAUGAUCCUGAAAUCAUGACCUGAGCUGAAACCUAGAGAUGGAUGCUUAACCUACUGCACCACCCAGCACCCCAACAGAUUGUACAUUAUAGAAAAGAUCAGUGAACUUGAAGAUAGAGCAAUAGAAACUAUCUAAACUUUCCUAUAGAGGAGAAAAAAAAAGACUGAAAGAAUGAUCAGGACUUCUCUAACCUAGGCGUAGUCCCAAAGUUGGUGGUAAGGACAAAGGAAUAAUGGCAGAAAGUUUCCAUAUAUUUUUAAAAAGAUUUUAUUUAGGGAUCCCUGGGUGGCUUAGCGGUUUAGCGCCUGCCUUUGGCCCAGGGCAUGAUCCUGGAGACCGGGGAUCGAAUCCCACGUCGGGCUCCUGGUGCAUGGAGCCUGCUUCUCCCUCUGCCUAUGUCUCUGCCUCUCUCUCUCUCUCUCUCUCUCUGUGACUAUCAUAAAUAAAUAAAAAAAAUUAAAAAAAAGAUUUUAUUUAUUUAUUCGUAGAGACACAGAGAGGCAGAGACAUAGGCAGAGGGACAAGCAGGCUCCCUGUGAGGAGCCCAGUGUGGGAAUCAGUCCCAGUACCCUGGAACUACAACCUAAGUCAAAGGCAGACGCUCAACCACUGAGCCACCCAGGCACCCCUGAGAAACUUUCCACAUUUAUUUAUUUAUUGAUUUAUUUUAAGAGAUUUUCUUUAUUUAUUCAUGAGAGACACAGAGAGAGAGGCAGAGACACAGGCUGAGGGAGAAGUAGGCUCCCUGCUGGGAGCCUGAUGUGGGACUAGAUCCCAGGACCCUGGGAUCAUGCCCUGAGCUGAAGGCAGAUGCUCAACCACUGAGCCACCCAGGUGUCCCACGUUUCCAUAUUUAAUAAAACUAUAGCUCCAUGGACCUAAGAAAUUCAACAAACUUCACGAAGAAAAAAAUAUAAAGUAAACCACACCAUGGAACAAUAUAAUCAAAGUAUUAAAAGCCAAUGACAAAAAAAAAAAAAAGUUAAAUUCAGCCAAAGAAACUGUGAAAGAGAUACAUUACAUAUAGGGAACAAAGAUGAGAAUGACUGCAAAAACAAGCCGUUAUUUUUAACAACAUCUUUAAAGUACUAAAAGGAAAAUUUGUCCAUCUAAAAUUCUCUAUCCAUGAAAAGUGUCCUUCAAAAAUGAAAUUAAAGGUUUUUGCAGACAAAUAAAAGCUGAGAGAAUCUGUAGCUAUUAUCUUUACUACAAAAAUGUUAAAUGAAUGUUUUUAAGUAUAUUAUAAUUAUAUAUAUUAAAAUAUAUUAUAAGUAUAAAUC